rnacentral:rRNA from 1 species
GACGAACGCUGGCGGCGUGCUUAACACAUGCAAGUCGAACGAUGAAACCUAGCUUGCUAGGUCGAUUGGUGGCGAACGGGUGAGUAACACGUGACUAACCUGCCCCUUUCUCUGGGAUAACGCUCCGAAAGGAGUGCUAAUACCGGAUACUCACACCGAGGCACAUGCCUUGGUGUGGAAAGUUUUUCGGAAAGGGAUGGAGUCGCGGCCUAUCAGCUUGUUGGUGAGGUAAGGGCUCACCAAGGCGACGACGGGUAGCCGGCCUGAGAGGGCGACCGGCCACACUGGGACUGAGACACGGCCCAGACUCCUACGGGAGGCAGCAGUGGGGAAUAUUGCACAAUGGGCGCAAGCCUGAUGCAGCGACGCCGCGUGAGGGAUGAAGGUCUUCGGAUUGUAAACCUCUUUCAGUAGGGACGAAGCGAAAGUGACGGUACCUAAAGAAGAAGCACCGGCUAACUACGUGCCAGCAGCCGCCGUAA